CCUACGUGGGGCAGCAGUGGGGAAUAUUGGACAAUGGGGGGAACCCUGAUCCAGCCAUGCCGCGUGUGUGAAGAAGGCCCUCGGGUUGUAAAGCACUUUCAGUGAGGAAGAACGCCUGGUGGUUAAUACCCAUCAGGAAAGACAUCACUCACAGAAGAAGCACCGGCUAACUCCGUGCCAGCAGCCGCGGUAAUACGGAGGGUGCGAGCGUUAAUCGGAAUUACUGGGCGUAAAGCGCGCGUAGGUGGCUUGAUAAGCCGGUUGUGAAAGCCCCGGGCUCAACCUGGGAACGGCAUCCGGAACUGUCAAGCUAGAGUGCAGGAGAGGAAGGUAGAAUUCCCGGUGUAGCGGUGAAAUGCGUAGAGAUCGGGAGGAAUACCAGUGGCGAAGGCGGCCUUCUGGACUGACACUGACACUGAGGUGCGAAAGCGUGGGUAGCAAACAGGAUUAGAUACCCUAGUAGUC
rnacentral:rRNA from 1 species